UACGUAGGGUGCGAGCGUUGUCCGGAAUUAUUGGGCGUAAAGAGCUCGUAGGCGGUCUGUCGCGUCGAUCGUGAAAACUUGGGGCUUAACCCUGAGCUUGCGGUCGAUACGGGCAUGACUGGAGUUCGGCAGGGGAGACUGGAAUUCAUGGUGUAGCAGUGAAAUGCGUAGAGAUCAUGAGGAAGACCAGUGGCGAAGGCGGGUCUCUGGACAGUUCCUGACACUGAGACACGAAGGCCAGGGGAGCAAACGGG
rnacentral:rRNA from 1 species